GAAACCAGGAUUAGAUACCCUGUUAUACUAAAAGUUAAAAUAGUUGAAGUCUUGAGUAGUAGUAAUAAAUUGGUUUAAAAUUCAAAGAGUUUGGCGGUGUUUUAGUCUAGUUAGAGGAACCUGUUUUAUAAACGAUGUACCACGUAGUAUCUUUCUUGUUCUGAGGAUAGUUAGUAUACCUUCAUUAUUAGAUAAUUUUAUUUGUAUAUAGGAGUUAUUGCAAUUAGUGUUUAUUAAAUAUAUUAGAUCUCGGUGCUGCUAAUGUGCAAGUAGGAAUGGGUUACAAUAAUUUUAAUUUAUUAUGGAUGUACGAGUGAAAUGUUUGUAUUGAAAGUGGAUUUAAUAGUAAUGUGAUUUUAAUAUGUUUGUGUGAGAUUGGCUCUAAAAUGUGUACAUAUCGCCCGUCGCAA
rnacentral:rRNA from 1 species